AUUGAACGCUGGCGGCAGGCCUAACACAUGCAAGUCGAGCGGAGCGGCGGACGGGUGCGGAAUGCCUAGGCAUCUGCCUGGUAGUGGGGGAUAACGUCCGGCAACGGGCGCUAAUACCGCAUACUAUCAGAUUAGCCGAGGUCGGAUUAGCUAGUUGGUGGGGUAAAGGCCUACCAAGGCUACGAUCCGUAGCUGGGCUGAGAGGAUGAUCAGUCACACUGGAACUGAGACACGGUCCAGACGCCUACGGGAGUCAGCAGGGGGGCAUAUUGGACAAUGGGCGAAAGCCUGAUCGAGCCAUGCCGCGUGUGUGAAGAAGGUCUGCGGAUUGUAAAGCACUUUAAGUUGGGAGGCGUUACCAACAGAAGAAGCACCGGCUAACUUCGUGCCAGCAGCCGCGGUAAUUC
rnacentral:rRNA from 1 species